UGGAAGUAAGGAACCAACAGGGAUUGCCUCAGUAACGGCGAGUGAAGCGGCAAAAGCUCAAAUUUUAAAGCUGGCACCUUCGGUGUCCGCGUUGUAAUUUUGUGAGGCAUCUCCGGGUAGGGCGCCGGCCUAAGUUCCUUGGAACAGGACGUCAUAGAGGGUGAGAAUCCCGUGCUUGGCUGGCUGUCCCCGUCCAUGUGAGGUGUCUUCGACGAGUCGAGUUGUUUGGGAAUGCAGCUCAAAAUGGGUGGUAAAUUUCAUCUAAAGCUAAAUAUUGGUGGGAGACCGAUAGCGCACAAGUAGAGUGAUCGAAAGAUGAAAAGCACUUUGAAAAUAGAGUUAAAAAGUACGUGAAAUUGUUGAAAGGGAAGCGCUUGAGACCAGACUUCGGUGGGGAGUGAUCAGCUGUCCUUCUGGGCGGUGCACUUGCUCCCCUCCGGGCCAGCAUCGGUUGGGACGGCGGGAUAAAGGUCCCGGGAAUGUGGCUCCUCUCGGGGAGUGUUAUAGCCCGGGUGAAUGCCGCCAGCCCCGACCGAGGACCGCGCCUUCGGGCUAGGAUGCUUGGCAUAAUGGUCUUCAGCGACCCGUCUUGAAACACGGACCAAGGAGUCUAACAUCUAUGCGAGUGUUUGGGUGUCAAACCCUUACGCGAAAUGAAAGUGAACGGAGGUGGGAACCCGCAAGGGUGCACCAUCGACCGGUCCCGAAGUCUUCUGAAGGAUCUGAGUAGGAGCAUAGCUGUUGGGACCCGAAAGAUGGUGAACUAUGCCUGAAUAGGGUGAAGCCAGAGGAAACUCUGGUGGAGGCUCGCAGCGGUUCUGACGUGCAAAUCGAUCGUCAAAUUUGGGUAUAGGGGCGAAAGACUAAUCGAACCAUGCUAAGUGGCGA
rnacentral:rRNA from 1 species